GCGUGUUUCAGUCGACGCAUCAUUGGCAGUAUCGGCCGCAGUGGCUGUGCUGUGUUUUCACAUUUCAGUCAGUGGUCGUAUGUUGAGAGCGAAUGUUGUGUUAACGGAGGAAAUAAGAAGUCGAUGUUAGUUAGCUAAAUGAAAAAGAAACAAACCAAACUUAUGGCUUUAGCGGUAAUGCAUAUAUAAUUUUGGGUAAUGACAAUUUUUCAAAGGUGAAUACUUUCUUGAAGUAACUAAAUAUAAAGUAGUGCGGCCUUUAAUAAAUAAUAGCCAUGGCCAAAUCGUAGAGAAAGCAUGGCGGAUUGUAAAAAUAAUUCAGGUGACACUAAAAAAGUGCAAAAUGUCAGUUGAAUGCUGGCAAAACCAGUAAAAGCGGCUAUAAAGCAAAAAGGGAACAACGACUCAUUUGCUCGAACUUAAGUGACACACUAAAGUUGAUAAAGUAAAAGAAAAGUGCUUACUUUUCAAAACGGCCGAUAAGUAUAAAA